CCUACGGGCGGCAGCAGUGGGGAAUAUUGCACAAUGGGGGAAACCCUGAUGCAGCGACGCCGCGUGAGUGAAGAAGUAAUUCGGUAUGUAAAGCUCUAUCAGCAGGGAAGAAAAUGACGGUACCUGACUAAGAAGCCCCGGCUAACUACGUGCCAGCAGCCGCGGUAAUACGUAGGGGGCAAGCGUUAUCCGGAUUUACUGGGUGUAAAGGGAGCGUAGGCGGCAUUGCAAGUCAGAAGUGAAAGCCCGGGGCUCAACCCGGGGACUGCUUUUGAAACUGUUUGGCUGGAGUGCAGGAGAGGGAAGCGGAAUUCCUAGUGUAGCGGUGAAAUGCGUAGAUAUUAGGAGGAACACCAGUGGCGAAGGCGGCUUACUGGACUGUAACUGACGUUGAGGCUCGAAAGCGUGGGGAGCAAACAGGAUUAGAUACCCCAGUAGUC
rnacentral:rRNA from 1 species